NNNNNNNNNNNNNNNNNNNNNNNNNNNNNNNNNNNNNNNNNNNNNNNNNNNNNNGUCCUUCACUUUGGCCACAGCAACCCCAAGCAACGCUACAGGCUUGGGGCGGAGUGGCUAGAAGACUGUGUGGAGGAAAUGGACCUGGGGGUGUUGGUUGACGAUCGGCUAAACAUGAGCCAGCAGUGUGCCUGGGUGGCCAAGAAGGACAAUGGCAUCCUGUGGGAACGUAAGGAAAAACUGUUCAGAGCGGCACCUCUGGAGCCGGGGGGCUGCACAGAGUAGCAGCUGCGGAGCAAGAUAAGCGGCAUGAGAACCAAGGACACCUUCAGAAGAAGAAAGAACAUCUCAUGGCUCUGAUUGGCUAAGCACCUGUGUGAAUGGUUGAGGUGUGUUUUGCAGAAUGCUCUGUUAACAUGUAUAAAUAGAGUAGUGCGUAACAAUUUAAAGCAGACAAAUGCCACUUCAAGGGUAUUAGAGGAAUUUCCAAUCAUGAGCUUCGCUUUUGCAAUAUGUAUGAGCUAAUUAUUUCAUGUAUAAAUAGCCACGAUAUACUUAAUAAAGUUGAGACCUGUUGAUCAUGAUAGCAUGAGACUUGUCUCCUGUGGUCCUUUCUCCGACAAAUGGUGACCCUGACGUCCGGACACCACGCUAAGAGAGGGGGACUACGUUGGGUUCAGGUCCCGCAGCUAGACGGACGGCGACAGAGAAAAAAUUUUUGUGGAACUCCGCGCCCCGAGCGAUCACAGCGGUGGGACUCGGCCGAUACGUGCUGCCGAAGCUUGGAGGUCUGCAACGGUACCGACGUGAGUAUGGACAGGCAAGCAGCAUAUGAAUUAUUUACCGUCUUCUUGAGGAAGCGGCAGUUUAAGGGAAUAGAUUUAGAAAAGGAUCUCCCUGUAUUGUUAAGCCAUGCAGUUUCUUAUGGUUUUUUUACAAACCCCCAUUCAGUACACACUUUGGAAGAGUGGAGACGUUAUGGGGAUAAAUUGUGGGAGUUAGUUUUAGAUGAGGAUAAGCCAGCAAAAAAGAUGACUAAGUUAUGGAAAGCGGUUCAUAAUGAGUUGUUGAUGUCCCAGGCCGAGAAGAGGGCGGCACAGGGUGCUCAAGCGGCGCAGCAGCAAAACCUUGAUUAUGGGCUCAGCCAUUACACCCCCCCUCCUCCUUCCUCUACGGUGCUAACUAUACCGCCACCCGUAUCUAAGCCCUCAGCGCCUCCAUGCGAGUCCCCGGACACUAGCAGCUCUGCAUCUGCCGCAGGGGAGGAACCUCGGCGUAUCCCCCCUCAAGUCUCUGUGCAAGCGCCACGGAACUCCGAACUUGUCCCAGGGGCCGAGUCAGAUCUGGCAGAGGCUAUAGUUUGGGGAAGGCGGGAGAUGUGGUCCAUGUUAGCCAAACAGGGAAUGGAGGAGGGCGAUGCCGACCUCUUACAGGCAGCAACGGAGCAGCUGGCGUUCCCGGUGGUAUAUACGCCCUCACCACAAGGAGGGAUGAACGCUACAAUCCAUAAUUUGGAUUGGAAAAUGCUCUCUCAGUUGCGCGCCACAGUAGGGUCUUAUGGGGUGACUAGUGAGCCAGUUAAACAAAUGCUAGACUACAUCUUUAGUGCAAAUACUCUCCUGCCUGCAGAUAUUAAGGCAGUAGCUAGACUAAUAUAUACCCCCCAUCAGCUGCUCUUGUUUAACGCCCACUGGCAGCAUGAGGCUACAAUAUCCACCACAGUGCAAAGGGGUCCUGGGGAUCCGCUAGCAGGGGUCACAGUUGAUCACCUGUUGGGUCUUGGUCAAUGGGUACGGGCGGAGGCACAGGCACUUGCUGGCCCUGAUAUUUGUCAGGAAAGUAUGGAUACAGCCAGGAGAGCCAUGAAUAAGAUAAAAGCCCCUGGAGGUACACCUAUGUAUAUGGGCAUAAAACAAGGACGGGAUGAGCCGUUAGGUGACUUUGUGGACAAGAUUAUGGAGGCCAUAAAAAGGGCUGAUGUGCCCAAGUACAUGCAGGGAGCU
ensembl:lncRNA